CUGACCCUUCAGUGACCUAGUCUUCAGUCCUUUGAUCAUCUUAGUCCUCAGCAUGAGAGAUCACCUUACUGUCUCUGGUCGCGUUGUACCAGGAAGUGGUCUGAACAAUUCUCAGAGUUUAGCAGAAAGUGACACCAAAGGGAAACUGCAUGAAGACUCUGUGAAGGGGAAAAACAACUUCCAUCCAACUAGGAGCUGUGCAUAACCUUUGCUGAAUGUACCCUCUAAGGUUGAGCCCAUUUUCACUUGGACUCUCUGGACUUGUGAGAAAUUAUGAUCCACACUUUUGGAAGAAAUCUGCUUGGAUUGAACCAUCCACUGGGAAUACUAUUUACCUCAGCAUUAAGGAGUCCAGGCUCUAUAUGAAGGCUGGAGAUAAGAUAGGAGAUGGCUCAAUAGAAGAUGAUUAUUCUGCUCUCCACCAACUUUCCUCUGAUGUAGAAGGAGAUGGAAGGCCUGAGAAUAAAAAAGCUCUACAAUGGUAGGAAGUGGAAGGA
rnacentral:lncRNA from 1 species